rnacentral:rRNA from 1 species
UACGUAGGGACCAAGCGUUGUUCGGAUUUACUGGGCGUAAAGGGCUCGUAGGCGGCUUGACAAGUCACUUGUGAAAUCUCCGGGCUUAACUCGGAACGGCCAAGUGAAACUGUCAUGCUAGAGUGCAGAAGGGGCAAUCGGAAUUCUUGGUGUAGCGGUGAAAUGCGUAGAUAUCAAGAGGAACACCGGAGGUGAAGACGGGUUGCUGGGCUGACACUGACGCUGAGGCGCGAAAGCCAGGGGAGCAAACGGG